rnacentral:tRNA from 1 species
GUGGUAGUCGUCUAGCGGCAAGGACCCCUGCCUUCCAAGCAGGUUACGCGGGUUCGAUUCCCGCCUACCGCACC